GCUUCUUAGGGAAAACCAAAAGUCCCAAACCCUCCGUCCUUCUAACCUCCGUCCAUAGCUCUUCACUCUCACUCCAACCCUCCAUGGAAGACCCCUCAGAUUCCCCACCACCACCACCAUCACAAACACCCCUAAACUAAGCGCCACCUCAAUGUCUUACACCAAAUCCACCACCAAACCCUAAUUUACUUCUCUCUUCUUCACCCCAUGCACCACCACCCCACCAACCUACUACAUCCUUAUAGACAUCCCUCACCGCCCUCCCCUUUCAAAUCCUGGUCGCGGUGGGCCCCAGCGGCGCCAGAAAAUCCACCCUCCUCGACAUCCUCUCCGCCUGCACCUUCCCCUCCCACGACACUCUCCUCCUCAACUCCACUCCUCUUGUCCCCUCCACCUUCCGCAAACUCUCCUCCCUCCAACACGACCACUGCCUCCCUCUCCUCACCGUCUCUGGAACCUUCCUCUUCAUCGUGGUCUUUUAUAAAUAGUGUAACACACAGUAGGGGACAGAACACAUAUCCACUUGAAAGGGUUAGGUUUCGGGAGAAAAAGCAAUCCACUCAAAGAAGCAGGCAGAUGUAAACUCACUGCUUUUGUUGCUGGGGUUACUGUUCCAUUUGCUUCCAUUGCUAUUCAAGUACACCUUAGGAGGAGGCAAUCAUUCUAUAGUCACUAGCACUCUUCAGUUGUUAAGAGCAAGCAACGUUGUUAUGCUUCUAGCAUACUUUGCUUACAUCUUCUUCCAAUUGAAAACCCAUCGAAAAUUGUUUGAUGCACUAGAGAUGUUCAUUGAGGAAGUCAUUGAACUUGUGGAACUGAACCCACUAAAGCAUGAAAUUGUUGGAUUGCCAGGUGUUAACGGACUAUCGACAGAGCAACGCAAAAGGUUGACUAUUUCUGUUGAGCUAGU